GCACCGGUCGUGUAUGGAACACGCACCCACGCAAUUUCAAUCUCGUUCGAUUCAAGGGUAAGACGGGGUUCGAUUCCCCGCCGGUGCA